GGAUGUAUUGAUGGAGUACAGUUCUACUGAAAAGGACUUGGGAGUACUGGUGGAUGGCAAGCUGGAUGUGCUUGUUCCACCAUAUUCCACAUGCACGCAAUUUCAAAUGCAAAUGAUUAUGUUCUGCAAUUAAAAUGCAACAAGUUUUCAAUGUCAGCAGAAGGACUGCUAAGGAGAACUGCAUGGCGUAUAUGGCAACAUACAAAAUAAAGAGAGGAAAAGAGGUUUUUUGGAAGAUAUUCUGAAGAUGAUAAUGGUUGAAAGCAAUGAGGAUGAUGGAUUUCACAGAUUAGAACUCUCCAAGCACUGCUCCAGCACAGCUCUGUACCACGGGGACAACCCUUCAGGGUGGUGCUGCUCAAGUAGCCAUAGGCAUCAGCUAACCGAGACCAUGGAGAUAGAGUAUUCCACCAUGGGACUCUCCUGGACUGCAGGGAGCUUCUGCUCUGUGUCUGGAGCACCUCCUGCCCUCCUUUUGCAGUGACCUUGCUGGUUGCAGGGCUAUUUCACAUUUCUCGCUCUUGAGCUGCUGUUGUGCAGCAUUUUUUUUCCUCUUUAUUAAACCUGCUCUCCAAAACUUGCAACCAGUGUUUCUCAUGGUUCAGCUAAGCCAGGUUCCUGCUGGAGCAGCUAGAUCUAGGUCUGCUCACAAAGGUCGACUCUGCAGCCUUGCUAUGUAAGCCCAAUGCAAUUGUUCAUCUUGUUCAGCAUCAGAAUGAGGAUAUUAGAAAUGAACUAGCUUCUCAAUUUUAUA